rnacentral:misc_RNA from 1 species
CGGCCCGCCAGCUCGUCGAUGGCGGGAAGCGCGAUCUUCCGUGCGAUCCUGAGGACCGCCCGCUCGUCGCCGCCAGCGCCGGCAGGAGCGCGAUCUUUGUCGUCGUGGUGGGACCACGUCGAGCCGGCCCCCGUCGACCCCAUCCUCGGCGUCACCGAGGCCUACCUCGCCGAUCCCAGCCCCAACAAAGUAAACGUCGGAGUUGGUGCUUAUCGCG